rnacentral:rRNA from 1 species
UAGUCCACGCCGUAAACGAUGUCAACUAGCCGUUGGGAGCAUAUAAGCUCUGAGUGGCGCAGCUAACGCGAUAAGUUGACCGCCUGGGGAGUACGCCGGCAACGGCAAAACUCAAAGGAAUUGACGGGGGCCCGCACAAGCGGUGGAGCAUGUGGUUUAAUUCGAUGCAACGCGAAAAACCUUACCUACCCUUGACAUCCUGAUCGCGGAUAGUGGAGACACUUUCCUUCAGUUCGGCUGGAUCAGUGACAGGUGCUGCAUGGCUGUCGUCAGCUCGUGUCGUGAGAUGUUGGGUUAAGUCCCGCAACGAGCGCAACCCUCGCCUUUAGUUGCCAGCAUUUAGUUGGGCACUCUAAAGGGGACUGCCGGUGAUAAGCCGGAGGAAGGUGGGGAUGACGUCAAGUCCUCAUGGCCCUUACGGGUCGGGCUACACACGUGCUACAAUGGCAAUGACAGAGGGCAGCUAGACCGCGAGGUCAUGCUAAUCCCUAAAAGUU